rnacentral:rRNA from 1 species
AUGGGCGCAAGCCUGAUGCAGCAACGCCGCGUGAGGGACGACGGCCUUCGGGUUGUAAACCUCUUUUAGCAGGGAAGAAGCGAAAGUGACGGUACCUGCAGAAAAAGCGCCGGCUAACUACGUGCCAGCAGCCGCGGUAAUACGUAGGGCGCAAGCGUUAUCCGGAAUUAUUGGGCGUAAAGAGCUCGUAGGCGGUUUGUCGCGUCUGCUGUGAAAUCCGGAGGCUCAACCUCCGGCCUGCAGUGGGUACGGGCAGACUAGAGUGCGGUAGGGGAGAUUGGAAUUCCUGGUGUAGCGGUGGAAUGCGCAGAUAUCAGGAGGAACACCGAUGGCGAAGGCAGAUCUCUGGGCCGUAACUGACGCUGAGGAGCGAAAGGGUGGGGAGCAAACAGGGUUAGAUACCCUGGUAGUCCACCCCGUAAACGUUGGGAACUAGUUGUGGGGUCCAUUCCACGGAUUCCGUGACGCAGCUAACGCAUUAAGUUCCCCGCCUGG